CUUCAGCUGGUCUUGUUUGGACUUGAUUGCAACCAAAUCGAACCAGUUAUUGUUGAUGUUGGGCUUCGGAAGGAUUUUGACCGGUUGAUAGAUAUUCAGAAUUCGGUCUUCGUGGCGGUGGAGGAGGAGGACGAGACGCAUGAAUCCGGCGGACCAGGUCUUCGUGGCGGAAGACGGGACCGGAAGGAACCGAGCUUAUGGAGGAUAUGGUUCAUUCCAAAUGAGGAGGAGGAUGAAACAUCGAGUGUCAAAAGUUCUACCCAAGGUAACCAAAAUUUUUUCAAUCUGAUCCUGCUAACAAACCAGCGUCUUUGUGUUGUCCCACGCAGUUUGUUGAACGGAAGCUGUAACGACCGCAAAAACAUCUGCUCCGGAAGUGCGUAAACCGACGUAGUCCCGUACUCCGGUGGCCAUCAAUCCAUGGGACAUAAACGGUGGCGCCGCACCCCGCCGUAUCUGCGGCUAGUCGAGGAGCAAUAGUCCAUCUUGAUCAGG